rnacentral:rRNA from 1 species
UACGUAGGGUGCAAGCGUUGUCCGGAAUUAUUGGGCGUAAAGAGCUCGUAGGCGGUCUGUUACGUCGGCUGUGAAAACUCGGGGCUCAACCCCGAGCCUGCAGUCGAUACGGGCAGACUAGAGUGCUGUAGGGGAGACUGGAAUUCCUGGUGUAGCGGUGAAAUGCGCAGAUAUCAGGAGGAACACCGGUGGCGAAGGCGGGUCUCUGGGCAGUAACUGACGCUGAGGAGCGAAAGCGUGGGGAGCGAACAGG